GAACUGAUAGCAUAAUUGGAUAGUGCACCUACUCAAGUUGACCCGUGGAACAAGAUUCAGUAGUAGGUCCCCGUUCGAUCCGGGGUCAGGUCA